rnacentral:ribozyme from 11 species
AUGAAAGCACACGUCAAAGAAGAAGAAAAAAAGAGAAAUUGGAAAAGGAAUACACACAUCUCUUGGAGUAGAAAUCAUAUUUUCUUAGGAAUUGGAAUUAUAAUUCUUGUUUUUUCUUCUUUUUUCUCCUUUCUUUGGGACCUGCGGUUGCGUACAGGAUGGCGGUCAGCUGCAGCUGAGGUCCUUAGGACCCCGCCAAUUAGCCAACGGCUGUAAAAAUAUGCUCGAAGAGCCCAAAUAAAGAAUGAGAAACAGGAAUCUUGAAGAGGAAUAAUUAUUUUAUUAUUUUUUCUUUGUAAUUUCCUUUCCAUGAAUAAAGAGAUGAUCUAAGCCGGUCAACAUUUAAUUCCUUUAGCAAGAUCUUCCGUUUGCUCUUCAAUGAAUGAAAGGACAAGAGCAAACAGUUGGAAGAUCAUGCAAGGAAUUAUAAUGUUGAUUGACCGGCUGUCAUCUCUUUUUGGAAAGGAAGAUUCCUUACGAGAAGCUGUCAAUAGCCGGGCUUUAAUCAUUCCCUGAAGGAAUGCCGGCUCAGCUUCUCUUAACCGAAGGUCUCCUGAUGUUCUCUUUCACGUGCUCAACCAUCAAUCUUUGUUUU